rnacentral:lncRNA from 1 species
CAUGUAGGAAAGAGCUACCACCCCGGUCGUCCGGUAAGUGUGUGAAGCUACCACAUGGAGAUUAAUUGAAAAGUCGAAAAGGUUGAAAAAAAUAAUAAUUUUAGAAUUUUCGGAGUAAUAAGGUGCUAGUUUGAAAAAGAUGCUCAAAGAGCCACCCCCGGUAUCAUGUUAGUUAAAUCUCUAUUUUGAACGUGUUACGACAAAUUGGUGUCAAUUUUUGUUGAAUUUCUAAAAAUCAUUUUUCAUCAACUUACAUCUUGAUGGUUUUGAAUCAUUAAAUUAUUUUUGAUAAUAAAAUUUUGAUGUUUUGAUAUAUUUUGAAAUUUUAUAAUAUCUUAUUGUCAUUAUAAUGAUUCUUGGAGUAAAAGCCUUAAUUUAUUUGAAAUUAAUUUAAUUUGAUGGAUUUUUAAAGCAAAUUUUUCGAAAUCUGAGAUCGUUCGUCGAGCUUAGUCUCUCUCUUUUACUUCAUUUGCAUUUUAGGAUGAUGUUUUAGUUUCAGUUCUG